CAGCCGCCACGGGAAUACAGAGGAUGCAAGCGUUAUCCGGAAUGAUUGGGCGUAAAGCGUCUGUAGGUGGCCUGUUAAGUCAGGGGUGAAAGACGGUAGCUUAACUAUCGCAGUGCCCUUGAUACUGAUGGGCUUGAAUGAACUAGAGGUAGGCGGAAUGUGACAAGUAGCGGUGAAAUGCAUAGAUAUGUCACAGAACACCGAUUGCGAAGGCAGCUUACUAUGGUUUUAUUGACACUGAGGCACGAAAGCGUGGGGAUCAAACAGGAUUAGAUACCCCAGUAGUCCCUGUCUCUUAUAC
rnacentral:rRNA from 1 species